UCUGGUUGAUCCUGCCAGUAGUCAUAUGCUUGUCUCAAAGACUAAGCCAUGCAUGUCUAAGUAUAAAUAACUACACAGUGAAACUGCAAAUGGCUCAUUAAAACAGUUAUAGUUUAUUUGAUAUAUUAAAUGGAUAACUGUAGAAAAACUAGAGCUAAUACAUGCCUAAACCGCAAGGUUGUAUUUAUUAGAUAUUCCUAUAAGGUGAAUCAUAAUAACUUCGCAAAUCUCGGAAUUCCGAGAUAAAUCAUUCAAGUUUCUGCCCUAUCAUGCUUUCGAUGGUAGUGUAUUGGACUACCAUGGCUUUCACGGGUAACAGGGAAUUAGGGUUCGAUUCUGGAGAAGGAGCCUGAGAAACGGCUACUACAUCUACGGAAGGCAGCAGGCGCGUAAAUUACCCAAUCCUGACUCAGGGAGGUGGUGACAAGAUAUAACAACGCGAGUAAUAUCGCGAUUGUAGUGAGGGUAUUCUAAACCGAACCA
rnacentral:rRNA from 1 species